rnacentral:rRNA from 1 species
CCUACGGGAGGCUGCAGUGGGGAAUAUUGGACAAUGGGCGAAAGCCUGAUCCAGCCAUGCCGCGUGUGUGAAGAAGGCCUUCGGGUUGUAAAGCACUUUCAGUGGGGAAGAAAGCCUUGGGGCUAAUACCCUCGAGGAAGGACAUCACCCACAGAAGAAGCACCGGCUAACUCCGUGCCAGCAGCCGCGGUAAUACGGAGGGUGCGAGCGUUAAUCGGAAUUACUGGGCGUAAAGCGCGCGUAGGCGGUCUGAUAAGCCGGUUGUGAAAGCCCCGGGCUCAACCUGGGAACGGCAUCCGGAACUGUCAGGCUAGAGUGCAGGAGAGGAAGGUAGAAUUCCCGGUGUAGCGGUGAAAUGCGUAGAGAUCGGGAGGAAUACCAGUGGCGAAGGCGGCCUUCUGGACUGACACUGACGCUGAGGUGCGAAAGCGUGGGUAGCAAACAGGAUUAGAUACCCUGGUAGUC